rnacentral:lncRNA from 10 species
CUUUAAAGUAAACUAAUCUUAUUUUUUUCUUGCAACAUUCAGGAUAGUUACAAGUUCCAUAAAUUUCUACCUUCUUUGCUAGGCCAGUGUCCUGUUCCUCAAAAACAAUUUUCAACCUCUGAAAAGUUUUUAUGCUUGUUACCCACAAGUGGCUAUUAAUAAUUUACUGCUUUAUUAUGCUGUGAAUUCACCACAAAGAAAUUGGUGACAGUGUCGGACCUUGUUACUCCAAACUGUGAGUACUUUUUUAGGUUCAUCCUUAUCACUUAUCAAUGAACCUGCUCUUUCUGUAGAAGAGAAGGUUCAGCCCUUUGAUGUGGUUUGGCUGUGUCCCCACCCACAUCUCAUCUUGAAUUCUCACAUGUUGUAGGAGGGACCCUGUGGGAGGUAAUUGAAUCAUAGGGGAAGUUCUUUCCUGUGCUGUUCUCAAGACAGUAAGUCUCACAAGAUGUGAUGGUUAUUAUAAGGGGGAGUUUUCCUGCACAAGCUCUCUCUUUGCCGGCUGCCAUCCAUGUAAGAUGUGACUUGCUGCUCCUUGCCAUCUGCCAUGAUUGUGAAGUCUCUUCAGCCAUGUGGAGCCGAACUUCAUGAAAACCCAGUUAUCCAAAGAAUAGAAUAUUCAACUAUCUCUCCUGGAGAAUUACCACUUCUCACAACCAUAGACUACUCAACCAGGCUUGCCAAAUCUCAUUGCAAAAACCCCACUUCAGUGAAUCCUCCAGUGGCAAAUUUGACCCAGUUUCACACAGGCCUUCUUACUGAAUGGAUCACCUGAGAUCAAACCCUCAAGAUCUUGUGAAUAUCUUAUUCUUGAUCUUCCUGUUUCAAGAAACCACUAAGACUCUGUCAAUGUAGUUCACUAAUUUACUGCAGUAAGCAAUAAACCUGUCUUUAUUUAAUCAAUGAGUUAUUUUGGUAGUCUUACUGAAGAAAUGGUAGUAGACAUCCCCAUUACUUUAAAAAUUUUUUAGAUUAUUGUUUUACUUUCAAAGAAAUUUCUAUAAAAUAGAAGAGCAUAAAGAGCAUUAGCAUCACUGUUUUGUUACACUCAGCAGCUUGCCAUAUGGGAAAUAUACAUUAGAAGACAAUUAAGGGUAAAAAGAAACUUUUUCCUCACACAACACAAUUACAUAGUGUGAAAACAUUCAGGGAGUGUUUAUGAACUCAGUGGAUUCUGAAACAUAAGCUAAUUUUCGCAAGACAUAAGGAAUUUUAUGAGAAAAAUAUAAGCAGU